rnacentral:lncRNA from 1 species
AUUGUACAUGCCUUUAUAGAAUUUACCUUGUCAAUCGAACAACACGGUUCAACACACCCUAGUCAGACAGUGGAAAGAACAACAGAAAUUUUCCUUUAUGCAAACUCAGAUAGGUACUUUCAGAGUCUUCUUCUUGCAUAUAAGAAUGCAACUCGAUGCUAACUCGCAAUAGACGUUGAGAAGACACUGUACAAUCUUCACUGCAAAUGGAACCGUCUGGGAGGUGUACCAGUGGACAAUCAAAACGAGCACCCCCAGAUGAUAUCUUCACAAUAUAGCUGACUCUGGCCAUCGUCGUUUGGUCCUGUUUUCUUUUAGUAUUUAAAUAACAUAAAGUUAAGAAAUAACACAAGGUUAGAAAGACUACAGGUAUGAGAAAACUAACCAAGCUUGGGCAAAAACACAGAAUGAGAUACGCAAGAAUAACUCAACCAGGAG